rnacentral:rRNA from 1 species
CCUACGGGAGGCAGCAGUCGAGAAUCAUUCACAAUGGGGGAAACCCUGAUGGUGCGACGCCGCGUGGGGGAAUGAAGGUCUUCGGAUUGUAAACCCCUGUCAUGUGGGAGCAAAUUAAAAAGAUAGUACCACAAGAGGAAGCGACGGCUAACUCUGUGCCAGCAGCCGCGGUAAUACAGAGGUCUCAAGCGUUGUUCGGAAUCACUGGGCGUAAAGCGUGCGUAGGCUGUUUCGUAAGUCGUGUGUGAAAGGCGCGGGCUCAACCCGCGGACGGCACAUGAUACUGCGAGAAUAGAGUAAGGGAGGGGGAACCGGAAUUCUCGGUGUAGCAGUGAAAUGCGUAGAUAGCGAGAGGAACACUCGUGGCGAAGGCGGGUUCCUGGACAUUAACUGACGCUGAGGCACGAAGGCCAGGGGAGCGAAAGGGAUUAGAUACCCCUGUAGUC